GUGCUUGCCUCGGCAGUAUAUAUACUAAAAUUGGAACAAUACAGAGCAGAUUAGCAUGGCCCCUGUGCAAGGAUGACAUGCAAAUUCAUGAAGUGUUCCAUAAUUUA
ensembl:snRNA U6 U6 spliceosomal RNA